rnacentral:snRNA from 1 species
AUGCUUGCUUCAGCAGCACACAUACUAAAAUUGGAACAAUACAGAGGAGAUUAGCAUGGCCCUUGCGCAAGGAUGACACGCAAAUUUGUGAAGGAUUCCAUAUUUUC